AAAAGACUAGUUUAUUUUAAAAUUUUUGAUUGCAAGUCAAAGGAUGAUUUUUUCGUUUUUUAA
rnacentral:tRNA from 1 species